rnacentral:misc_RNA from 1 species
GAUGAAGAACGUAGCGAAAUGCGAUAAGUAAUGUGAAUUGCAGAAUUCAGUGAAUCAUCGAAUCUUUGAACGCACAUUGCGCCCGCUAGUAUUCUGGCGGGCAUGCCUGUUCGAGCGUCAUUUCAACCAUCAAGCCCUGUUUAGGCUUGUGUUGGGGCCCUGCGGCUGCCGCAGCCCCCUAAAUGCAGUGGCGGGCUCGUUGUCACUCCGAGCGCAGUAGCGUAUCUCGCUCUGGGCGUGGCGGCGGGUGCUAGCCGUGAAACACCCACGAAGGUUGACCUCGGAUCAGGUAGGAAUACCCGCUGAACUUAAGCAUAUCAAUAAGCGGAGGA